AUGUACCUUGUUGACCGGAAGGGUUUCCUUCCGGUCAACGAGGAUGUACCUUGUUGAUCGGAAGGAAACCCUUCCGAUCAGGGAGGUACAU
rnacentral:miRNA from 1 species